rnacentral:precursor_RNA from 2 species
AUAGAUACAAGGUAGUAUUAGGAGAUGAGAGAGAGAUAGAAAUAGAUAGUAUUAUUUAUUCCAUAUGGGUAGUCCAUAUGCUUAUGGAUAAUUUUUGUUAUUUUCUUCAUAUGGACUAGUUGCACAAUGAUAAUAGGUAGCUGAAUGGAAUAUAAUAUUGCCUAUGGACUACUUUUGCUUCACAUUGUGGAUACCCUAACCUGAAACGGAGGAAGUAGAUGAUAUCCCACGCGUUAAAGUGAAAACUUUUGAAACCAUGUCCACCCGUACACAUGUUAUAUAAAAUUAUGCUUCUAGAUCCAAUAUCAAUAAUAUAUACUCCCAUAACAAACAUAUUCCAAAAGUUUUCACUAUAACGCGUGGGAAAACAAGUUUGCCCAAAACACGUUAAUUGAAUAUAUGCCAUUAAAAA